CUGGGGCCAGGAGUGAGGGAUCUGCAGCAGCUUCGGGGCUGGACCUGGCACCGCUGUCCUCCCUCCUGCUUCCACCGCCUGUGUUAAAGCUACAGCACUGCCCGGCGUGCUGCGGGGGCGGGAGGUCACAGGUUAAUUGCAAACAGAUGAUUAACUUGGAGCCAGAGGAGGAAAGAGCUCUGUGUCUUGCCGCCUCGCAGCGAUGUGGAAAGCAGCGUGCAGGGGAGUCCGCAAGGACCUGUCCUCCGCAUGUGCUGUGGGGCUCCUCCAGCUCCCAAGUCUUUAACGAAAAGGAGUAGUUUGCAGCACUACCAAACAAAUUACACGUUUGUUUUCUGGCUGUUGGCACUACUGCUGCUGUGCAGCUGCAGUUUUCUCAGCAAAACCAAGCCAGGGUCACACAGCUGGGGCAGAGGCAGCUGGAACCAGGGCCAUCGGUACCCCUGUGUGCCCAGGAGAAGGACAGAUGGACUCGGGGCAAGCUAUCACCAGUGCGUGCUCUGCUGGGACAACAGUAGGUCCUGGGCCCCCAGCCCACCUCCUGGAGCAGAUAUCACCCAGGUAACAGGGCAGCACCACAACUUCUGGGGUUCAAACCUUCCUGCAUGCAGGGCCAGACCCUCUCCAAAGCAAACUAUCCAUAAAAAUACCACCUGCUUAUCUCUUUCUGGUGCACAGGAUCCUGCCAGGCCGGGAGAGAUGCCACAGCUCUCCAGAUCUGCGAGCGUGCCAGCAAAAGGCAGCACAUCCAGCCCCAGAUGCCAGACACAAGGAGCUUGGCUGGCCACAAGCAAACACAAAUGA
rnacentral:lncRNA from 1 species